rnacentral:rRNA from 1 species
AAUCAGCCGGUACUCGCGAAUGCUCUAGAUUAAAGUUUGAUCCUGGCUCAGACUGAACGCUGGCGGUAGGCCUAACACAUGCAAGUCGAACGGCAGCACAGAGGAGCUUGCUCCUUGGGUGGCGAGUGGCGGACGGGUGAGGAAUACAUCGGAAUCUACUCUGUCGUGGGGGAUAACGUAGGGAAACUUACGCUAAUACCGCAUACGACCUACGGGUGAAAGCAGGGGAUCUUCGGACCUUGCGCGAUUGAAUGAGCCGAUGUCGGAUUAGCUAGUUGGCGGGGUAAAGGCCCACCAAGGCGACGAUCCGUAGCUGGUCUGAGAGGAUGAUCAGCCACACUGGAACUGAGACACGGUCCAGACUCCUACGGGAGGCAGCAGUGGGGAAUAUUGGACAAUGGGCGCAAGCCUGAUCCAGCCAUACCGCGUGGGUGAAGAAGGCCUUCGGGUUGUAAAGCCCUUUUGUUGGGAAAGAAAUCCAGCUGGCUAAUACCCGGUUGGGAUGACGGUACCCAAAGAAUAAGCACCGGC